CUCGUGGUGUAGUGGUAGCACGCGUCCCAGGUAUGGGAUAAACGCGGGUUCGACUCCCGUCUUAAGGU